ACUCCUACGGGAGGCAGCAGUGGGGAAUCUUAGACAAUGGGGGAACCCAUGAUCUAGCCAUGCCGCGUGAGCGAUGAAGGCCUUAGGGUUGUAAAGCUCUUUCAGCGGGGAAAGAUAAUGACGGUACCCGCAGAAGAAGCCCCGGCUAACUCCGUGCCAGCAGCCGCGGUAAUACGGAGGGGCUAGCGUUGUUCGGAAUUACUGGGCGUAAAGCGCGCGUAGGCGGAUUGGAAAGUCAGAGGUGAAAUCCCGGGGCUCAACCCCGGAACGCCUUUGAAACUCCCAGUCUUG
rnacentral:rRNA from 1 species